rnacentral:rRNA from 1 species
CCUACGGGUGGCAGCAGUGGGGAAUAUUGCACAAUGGGGGAAACCCUGAUGCAGCGACGCCGCGUGAGUGAAGAAGUAUCUCGGUACGUAAAGCUCUAUCAGCAGGGAAGAAAAUGACGAUACCUGACUAAGAAGCCCCGGCUAACUACGAUCCAGCAACCGCGGUAAUACGUAGGGGGCACGCGUUAUCCGGAUUUACUGGGUGUAAAGGGAGCGUAGACGGCAGCACAAGUCUGGAGUGAAAUCCCGGGGCUUAACCCUGGAACUGCUUUGGAAACUGUGCGGCUGGAGUGCAGGAGAGGUAAGCGGAAUUCCUUGUGUAGCGGUGAAAUGCGUAGAGAUUAGGAGGAACACCGGUGGCGAAGGCGGCUUACUGGACUGUAACUGACGUUGAGGCUCGAAAGCGUGGGGAGCAAACAGGAUUAGAUACCCGAGUAGUC